rnacentral:rRNA from 1 species
GACAGAGGGUGCAAACGUUGCUCGGAAUUACUGGGCGUAAAGGGCGUGUAGGCGGGAAGGCAAGUCGGGCGUGAAAUCCCCAGGCUCAACCUGGGAACUGCACUCGAAACUGCCUUUCUUGAGUGCCGGAGAGGAAAGCGGAAUUCCUGGUGUAGAGGUGAAAUUCGUAGAUAUCAGGAGGAACACCAGUGGCGAAGGCGGCUUUCUGGACGGUAACUGACGCUGGAGACGCGAAAGCGUGGGGAGCAAACAGG